rnacentral:lncRNA from 1 species
AUUUUAACCUUCAAGCCUGGAGUGGAUGCUCGGUUGGGUUGGUCUCGGUGCAGCCUUACUCAAAGAACACCCCCAGGAUCUCUCACUGCCAUUUUACUGAAGAUUUCCUUCUGUCUGAUUGAUACGGGAUCCUCGUACCACCUCACUUCCGUUGUAUUUUUCCCUGUGGCUUGAGAAGUCGUGAGCCAAUUCCUGUUGCAUCUGGCAUUUCUGAACUUCCCUGGUCUCCUUUCGAAUCGCUAAUGUGCCUUCUUCGCCCCUGAGUUCAUGGCUACUCGUUUAUUAUGAAGAGGUGGCAAAGCACAGACUGCGGAGCCAGGCGGGGGCCAGGGAGCGUCAUCGCUGGCAUGGUUCUUGGGGAGCGAGGCUGUCUACAAAUUGGAGGUCAUCCUCCCAGCAGCUCUGGUUGAUCAUGCUGUCCUCGAUGCACACCUGGGGACGUGGGCCCCUGAACACACGUGCGUCCAUGUAGCCAGCAAAGGGUUAGUGUGAGUGUCCGCCGUGACCUGUGCGACUCCGGUACCCACGCAGCCCUCCCACUGCAGUCCUGAUGGCCACGCUGACUCUUGGUAGACUGGAAGCAGCCUCUGGAGAACCCGAAAUUGCCGCUUUGGCCUCUUUUGAAGGCUAGAGAAAGGUGCCCAAGUACGGCCUGAAAGUGCCUUCCCCUCCCUUUGCCCGUCUCCUAGCCUUAUCAUUUCUACUUUUCCAGGAGCAUCUCACAGGAUGGAAUUUAUGUUCCUCUGACACUGUUCUCAGAAAUGCUGGUUCGAGCAUUCAGACCAAGUGAAAAGCAUCAAAGGGAGAAGGCCCCCAGAAAAAGGAAACCUCCCCGGGGCGGAGUCUGCACCCCUCUGUUCCCCGGUGGACUCCGUGGACCCACCAGGGGGUAUAGUCCUCACUUCUGGCUCCUCCUUGAGAGGACUCUGCUGCUCUCAGGCCCUCUCCGUCCUUCAGUGCCAGCCUCCGGAAUACACUUGCUUGGGCUUCCGUCUUCUGUCUGCCAGCCUGCGUCAUACCCGUGCCCUUUAGGUGGUUUCUUCUCGCCUGGCUGAGCCCGUUGAGCAGGUUCCGGCUUUAUUUGGGCUUUAUCCUCAUCGCAAGGAGGCCGGGGUUACCUUUAUUGGGACGUCCGCUUCCCGGCAUCUGCAGUCACAGCUGUCUCUGCUGCGAGUCACGGCAGAAGACUCAGCUCCCCCACUUUCUGCUUGAUGGUCACCCCAUUCCCUCCCGGAUGCAACCACUUUUCACGGCCCUGAGGGCGCCUUGGGGUAGCACCCUGGCUCUGGGCAGUGUUUGGCUGCCGCGCUAACGGCACCUGUUUCAUGGGAACACGGUUCCGCCCGGGGUGCUGGCUGUCGUGCCUGCUUCUUGCACACUGUGCCCUGAGCAGAGCCCGCUUGUUGGUUUUCUUUCGGCUUCAUGUUUAGCUGUGCCUGUGUGUUUGGGGUGUAUGUUUGUUUUAAUUAUUACCAGGAAGCAAAAAAGAUAUUUGUCCAAUACUUGAAUGUACAGAAGUCCCACUGCUGGCAAGCGGAGAGAAUAAAUAUAUAUUUUGC